rnacentral:tRNA from 1 species
GGUCGGUUUGCCGAGUGGCUAGGCGCUGGUCUGCAAAACCAGUUACGGCGGUUCGAAUCCGCCCCCGACCU